rnacentral:rRNA from 1 species
CAAGGAAUAUUGGACAAUGGGCGCAAGCCUGAUCCAGCAACGCCGCGUGGAGGAUGAAAGCCCUAGGGUUGUAAACUCCUUUUGUGCGGGAUGAGACAAGGACAGUACCGCACGAAUAAGUCACGGCUAACUAGGUGCCAGCAGCCGCGGUAACACCUAGGUGACAAGCGUUAUCCGGAUUUACUGGGCGUAAAGGGCUCGAAGGCGGCCGUUCUAGUCCGACGUGAAAUCUCCCGGCUUAACUGGGAGGGGUCGUUGGAUACUGUUCGGCUCGAGGCAGUGAGAGGAGUGUGGAAUUCUCGGUGGAGUGGUGGAAUACGUAGAUAUCGAGAGGAACACCAGUGGCGAAAGCGGCACUCUGGCACUGACCUGACGCUCAUGAGCGAAAGCGUGGGGAGCGAACGGGAUUAGAUACCCCCGUAGUCC